UUUGAUCCUGGCUCAGGAUGAACGCUGGCGGUAUGCCUAACACAUGCAAGUCGAACGGGACUCUUCGGAGUAAUCUGCCCUCAGGUUCGGGACAACCACUGGAAACGGUGGCUAAUACCGAAUGUGCCGAAAGGUGAAAGAUUAAUUGCCUGAGGAUGAGCUCGCGUCUGAUUAGCUAGUUGGUGGGGUAAGAGCCUACCAAGGCGUCGAUCAGUAGCUGGUCUGAGAGGAUGAGCAGCCACACUGGGACUGAGACACGGCCCAGACUCCUACGGGAGGCAGCAGUGGGGAAUUUUCCGCAAUGGGCGCAAGCCUGACGGAGCAAGACCGCGUGAGGGAGGAAGGCUCUUGGGUUGUAAACCUCUUUUAUCAGGGAAGAAGCUCUGACGGUACCUGAUGAAUCAGCAUCGGCUAACUCCGUGCCAGCAGCCGCGGUAAUACGGAGGAUGCAAGCGUUAUCCGGAUUUAUUGGGCGUAAAGCGUCCGCAGGUGGUUGUUCAAGUCUGCUGUUAAAGCGCGAGGCUUAACCUCGUACAGGCAGUGGAAACUGAGCGACUAGAGUAUGGUAGGGGUAGCGGGAAUUCCCAGUGUAGCGGUGAAAUGCGUAGAUAUUGGGAAGAACACCAGCGGCGAAAGCGCGCUACUGGGCCAUUACUGACACUCAUGGACGAAAGCUAGGGGAGCGAAAGGGAUUAGAUACCCCUGUAGUCCUAGCUGUAAACGAUGGGUACUAG
rnacentral:rRNA from 1 species